GACAGAGGUGGCUAGCGUUGUUCGGAUUUAUUGGGCGUAAAGCGAACGCAGGUGGUUUGGUAAGUCAGGGGUGAAAGUCCGCAGCUUAACUGCGGGACUGCCUCUGAUACUGCCUUUCUUGAGUGCAUGAGGGGGAAGCGGAAUUCCGAGUGUAGAGGUGAAAUUCGUAGAUAUUCGGAGGAACACCGGUGGCGAAGGCGGCUUCCUGGCAUGUAACUGACACUCAUGUUCGAAAGCGUGGGGAG
rnacentral:rRNA from 1 species